GGGCGGUUAGCUCAGGGGUAGAGCAUCCCGCUUACACCGGGAAGGUCGUCCGUUCGAAUCGGACAUCGCCCA
rnacentral:tRNA from 1 species